rnacentral:rRNA from 1 species
UGUGGCAGCGGCCGCGGUAAUACGAAGGGGGCUAGCGUUGUUCGGAUUUACUGGGCGUAAAGCGCACGUAGGCGGAUCUUUAAGUCAGAGGUGAAAUCCCAAGGCUCAACCUUGGAACUGCCUUUGAUACUGGAGGUCUCGAGUCCGGGAGAGGUGAGUGGAACUGCGAGUGUAGAGGUGAAAUUCGUAGAUAUUCGCAAGAACACCAGUGGCGAAGGCGGCUCACUGGCCCGGUACUGACGCUGAGGUGCGAAAGCGUGGGGAGCAAACAGGAUUAGAUACCCGUGUAGUC